rnacentral:rRNA from 1 species
GAAAGUGCCUAAAGACGAGCUCGCGCCUGAUUAGCUAGUUGGUGGGGUAAAGGCCUACCAAGGCGACGAUCAGUAGCUGGUUUGAGAGAAUGAUCAGCCACACUGGAACUGAGACACGGUCCAGACUCCUGCGGGAGGCAGCAGUGGGGAAUUUUCCGCAAUGGGCGAAAGCCUGACGGAGCAAUACCGCGUGAGGGAUUAAGGCCUGUGGGUUGUAAACCUCUUUUCUCAAGGAAGAAUCAAUGACGGUACUUGAGGAAUAAGCAUCGGCUAACUCCGUGCCAGCAGCCGCGGUAAUACGGGGGAUGCAAGCGUUAUCCGGAAUUAUUGGGCGUAAAGCGUCUGUAGGUUGUUUAAUAAGUCUGUUGUUAAAGACUGGGGCUUAACCCCAGGAAAGCAUUAGAAACUGUUAGGCUAGAGUAUGGUAGAGGUAGAGGGAAUUCCUAGUGUAGCGGUGAAAUGCGUAGAUAUUAGGAAGAACACCGGUGGCGAAAGCGCUCUGCUGGGCCAUAACUGACACUCAGAGACGAAAGCUAGGGUAGCAAAUGGGAUUAGAUACCCCAGUAGUCCUAGCCGUAAACGAUGGAUACUAGAUGUUGCGUAACUCGAUUAUGCAGUGUUCUAGCUAACGCGUUAAGUAUCCCGCCUGGGGAGUACACUCGCAAGAGUGAAACUCAAAGGAAUUGACGGGGGCCCGCACAAGCGGUGGAGCAUGUGGUUUAAUUUGAUGCAACGCGAAGAACCUUACCAAGGCUCGACAUGUCACGAAUCUUUUUGAGAAGAAAGAGUGCCCUCGGGAACGUGAACACAGGUGGUGCACGGCUGUCGUCAGCUCGUGUCGUGAGAUGUUGGGUUAAGUCCCGCAACGAGCGCAACCCUUGUCUUUAGUUACCAUCAUUUAGUUGGGGACUCUAGAGAGACUGCCGGUGACAAACCGGAGGAAGGUGAGGACGACGUCAAGUCAGCAUGCCCCUUAUGCCUUGGGCUACACACGUGCUACAAUGGCUAAGACAAAGAGCAGCAAGCUUGUGAAAGUUAGCAAAUCUCGUAAACUU